rnacentral:rRNA from 1 species
UUAGCUAUUUUGUGAGGUAAAGGCUCACCAAGGCGACGAUCAGUAGCUGGUCUGAGAGGAUGAUCUGCCACACUGGGACUGAGACACGGCCCAGACUCCUACGGGAGGCAGCAGUGGGGAAUUUUGGNCAAUGGGCGAAAGCCUGAUCCAGCCAUUCCGCGUGUNUGAAGAAGGCCUUCGGGUUGUAAAGCACUUUUGUCUAGGANCAAAUCNCCUUUCUUAAUACGGGAAAAGNAUGAGAGUACUUGAAGAAUAAGCCCCGGCUAACUACGUGCCAGCAGCCGCGGUAAUACGUANGGUGCAAAGCGUUAAUCGGAAUUAUUGGGCGUAAAGCGUCCGA